rnacentral:rRNA from 1 species
CUAGCCGUAAACGAUGGAUACUAGGUGUUAGAGGUAUCGACCCCUCUAGUGCCGUAGCUAACGCAUUAAGUAUCCCGCCUGGGGAGUACGGUCGCAAGACUGAAACUCAAAGGAAUUGACGGGGGCCCGCACAAGCGGUGGAGCAUGUGGUUUAAUACGUCACUAACCGUAGAACCUUACCCAGGCUUGACAUCUGGUGUAAGUCCAUGAAAGUGGUACCCCUGUAUGGUAACAUACAGCUCCAAGACAGGUGU